CACUGGCAUUCCCGCGAGCCAUCGUGUACCUUUUAAAUGCUGUUGUAGUAAUGGUGAUGAAAAUAAAACACAGUCAGAUCCUGCACUUUCAUGGCUGGAGGCAGCAAUCAGAGAAUCGUCAUUUUGCCAGGGCUGACUUCAUUUGCUCUUUGGCAAACCUGUGAAGCAAAUACGAAAUCCAGGGUCUCAACAGCAAUUUAAUUUGAAGCCUCAGAGUGAGGGAAAGCCAGCUACUGAUGUCUGUAGGCUGGUUGAAUGUGUGCUGGCAGAGGGCUGGACUCAGAAACUGCGCUGGUAACUGCUUCAAAGAAGUGGCUGCUCAAUCCUCAGACGGUCUGAGCAUUUUCUUUCAGCAGGUGACACAAAAAGUGAAGCAGAAGUCUAGAAAUGCAGAUGCUGUACCUGAAAGUUACGACACCAACUUGGUAUAAACAAACAACAAUACACAUUCUGCUGCAGUGAUUUAAAAAGCCACAAGAA